AUUGAACGCUGGCGGCAUGCUUUACACAUGCAAGUCGAACGGCAGCGCGGGCUUCGGCCUGGCGGCGAGUGGCGCACGGGUGAGUAAUACAUCGGAACGUGCCCAGCAGGGGGGGGUAGCUCGGCGAAAGCCGGAUGAAUACCGCAUACGACCUGAGGCUGAAAGCGGGGGAGCUUCGGACCUCUCGCUCUUUGAGCGGUCGAUGGCGGAUUAGCUAGUUGGUGGGGUAAAGGCCUACCAAGGCGACGAUCGGUAGCUGGUCUGCGAGGCGGACCGGCCGCCUGGGAGGUGGGACAGGGACCAGACGCCUGCGGGAGGGAGCAGUGGGGAAUGUGGGGCAGUGGGGGAAAGCCUGAUCCAGCAAGGGGGAGUGUGAGAUGAAGGCGUUCGGGUUGUAAAGAAGUUUUGGCGGGAACGAAAAGGAUUGUGCCAAUACGACGGUUGGAUGACGGUACCGGGAGAAGAAGCACCGGCUAACUACGUG
rnacentral:rRNA from 1 species